GACGAACGCGGGCGGCGUGCUUAACACAUGCAAGUCGAACGGUAAGGCCCUUCGGGGUACACGAGUGGCGAACGGGUGAGUAACACGUGGGUGAUCUGCCCUGCACUUCGGGAUAAGCCUGGGAAACUGGGUCUAAUACCGGAUAGGACUCCGGACUGCAUGGUCUGGGGUGGAAAGCUUUUGCGGUGUGGGAUGGGCCCGCGGCCUAUCAGCUUGUUGGUGGGGUGAUGGCCUCCCGAGGCGACGACGGGUAGCCGGCCUGAGAGGGUGACCGGCCACACUGGGACUGAGAUACGGCCCAGACUCCUACGGGAGGCAGCAGUGGGGAAUAUUGCACAAUGGGCGCAAGCCUGAUGCAGCGACGCCGCGUGAGGGAUGACGGCCUUCGGGUUGUAAACCUCUUUCAGCAUCGACGAAGCGAAAGUGACGGUAGGUGCAGAAGAAGGACCGGCCAACUACGUGCCAGCCGCCGCCGUAA
rnacentral:rRNA from 1 species